UCUCUGGUGGUCCACUGAUUAGGACUCAGCCCUUUCACUGCUGAGGGCCUGGGUUCAAUCCCUGGUCAGUGAA
rfam:Ovis aries breed Texel chromosome 1, whole genome shotgun sequence.